rnacentral:sRNA from 1 species
AUGUACCACGCGUGCACUCCGUGCUCCGCGCCGUCCGUACCCACCUGACGACUGCUCGCUACGUUUUGUUGGCC